UACAGAGGGGGCAAGCGUUGUUCGGAAUUACUGGGCGUAAAGGGCUCGUAGGUGGCCAACUAAGUCGGACGUGAAAUCCCUCGGCUUAACCGGGGAACUGCGUCUGAUACUGGAUGGCUUGAGUUCGGGAGAGGGAUGCGGAAUUCCAGGUGUAGCGGUGAAAUGCGUAGAUAUCUGGAGGAACACCGGUGGCGAAGGCGGCAUCCUGGACCGACACUGACGCUGAGGAGCGAAAGCCAGGGGAGCAAACGGG
rnacentral:rRNA from 1 species